rnacentral:rRNA from 1 species
UACGUAGGGUGCGAGCGUUGUCCGGAAUUAUUGGGCGUAAAGAGCUCGUAGGCGGUGUGUCACGUCGGCCGUGAAAACCUGCAGCUUAACUGUGAGCGUGCUUCCGAUACGGGCAGACUUGAGGUAUUCAGGGGAGAACGGAAUUCCUGGUGUAGCGGUGAAAUGCGCAGAUAUCAGGAGGAACACCGGUGGCGAAGGCGGUUCUCUGGGAAUAUCCUGACGCUGAGGAGCGAAAGUGUGGGGAGCGAACAGG